UGAUCAUGACUAACGAAAAUCUGAGCUAUGCUGGUAAACUGAUAUUGGCAAAAGAGUCGCUUUUUCUUUGCCUGAUUGGAUAAAUAUGCAGCUGGUUUUGGAAUUAAUUCUUCUGUGAGUGAAAUUAAAAGGUGUUACUUUAAAAUGCUCCUGUAUAUAUGCAACAGAAUUUAGUCACCAGAAAUGUCAUGGCCAAUACAAAAGAUGCAAGACUGUAAGCAGUACAUGUAGAAAAUCAAGUGAAUGCUCCUGGUUAAUAUUUCGACUUCAUCCAUUUUUUAAAAGCUCCGGUGGUGGUUCUGUGUGUAAAUGUUUCUACCUUUUGACACAGAUUCCUUUUAUCACAAAGUACUACAUUCAGUUUAAGACUGGUCCAAAACAGCUGUAGUUGCUGGUUAAAUUUCUUGCCAGGCUUGAAGCUUUUAAUUAUGUUCUUAUGUUCGUUUUUAAAGGAAAUAGUUUAAUUUCUAUAAAACAGAAAAAUCAAAUAUAGCUGUGUAUUUUCUCAUGUUCCAGGAAUUCUAAAAGGGUUUCAGGACCAGACUGUUCUGUUCUUAACUCAUUCCCUGUGCUUUGAUCUAUGUAUGCAUGCUGGUGAGAAAACCAUUGUGGGUGCCUGGCAGGGAGGCCCCCAGCACUUCCCCACACACACAGCGCCUGCAGCAUCCACGGUUCUGGGGGAGGGCUGAGAAGUAGCACAAGGCACAGUUGCAUCUAUUGUGCCUCUUUUUCUGAGGGCAACAAACCUUCCUGUACCAACCAGACCCUGCUGACCGCUACACCUAUGCAGCACAAACCCUGAAUGCAAGAAGAUAACAGCUGUUAUCACAGUGCUUUUUAUCUGGGAGGCAAAGUCUAAAAUUGCAUCUGACCUCUGUGUGUGCAGAGACGCCAAGUGAUGAGAGCUCUGCCUAGAUCCUCAGAGGUUUUAGAUUAGAUCGCGAAGAGUGAGGUACCUAAAUGAAUAGUUCCAGGGAUAAUAGCUUCUGUGUCUUCUAUCCAUGUGUGGUACAAAGUAGACUCCAAACUGUAAUUUAUCAAAUGAUAUAUUGCGAGCCUUAGAAAACACAACAGGACUUUUGUGUUGUUUUUUUUUCCCUAAUGGGUUUACUAAUAUAUAAAAUUACAACACUCCAUUUACUUAUAGAAUCAUACAAGUAAUUAAACUAGCUAUAGGAUAGAUUUAACUUAUUUAUCUACAAGUCAAUCUUCUGAUUGCCCUAGGUCAAUGGUUUUUAUCAACAAAGCUCCAUAAUAAUAGAUUUUCUUAAUAAUGCCAAUAGGGUAUGUAUAACAAAAAAUAUAGAAACACAUCUGUCUGUUAAGUGUGUGUGCGUAUAUCAGUCUUUGCAUAUAUACAUUUCUAUACAGCACAGGCUCAGGGGAAAACAGAUCAAACCCACAUGUUAUGUGUCUAGAGAAAUAAUAAUUUUGAGCUUGGCUAAGGCAAUAGAAUGAGUUCUUAUUUUUCUUGAAUAUUGGGGUCUGCUUGCUUGCCCAGUCAUUUGUUUAGAUUUCAGUGGAAAUACAGUAACACAUACUAGAAAAUUAAAUUAAUUGGAAUUAUGUUCCUCCAUGAUAAGACUUGAAAUGAGAUUUAAAUCAGUGUGUGCUUGGUAAAACAUGGCAAUUUGAUGCCUGUUCCACAAAACUGACAACCGCAUCUAGUUGUUUUUCUUCUGAAUUUGAUCAGAUAAUUUGGUCAAAACUUGGAGAAUAUCUAACAGUUACACAAUCAGACAGAUUUGUUCAAAAAAUUACAACAUAGUGAGGGAAACUCAAUUAGUUUUGUCAGCAAAUAUAAAGGCACUAGCUUGGACUUCCAGAAACUGUCCAAAGCUUUUACAAAUACUCUUGAUUCAGCUAAAAUCAUGCUAAUUAUAUGUUGGGCUCAAAAAAUCCUCAUUAAAACAACAUUAUUUGUGUCAUAAUGUCCAAACCUGAAAAGACAGGAAAUACUGCAAUUAGUAAGCAAUUGCUCUGACAAACUGGUGUGUACAUAUAUAUAUAUAUAUAUUUAAUCAUAUGACUGUAAAAAUUGCUCCACAGCCUUCCACAUGUGUUCAAUAUCUCAGUUACUUAAUAUCUUUUUUAGACCCACUGUAUGGACAUGGUGUUUACUUUAUUCAAAUUCUACUGCAGAGAACCAUAUUGAUUUCUUUUUUCAUUUUUUUUCUCCUGUAGUUCCUGUCACCGCAAUAUUUCAAUGCUUCACAAAUUCUAAUGGUUUUUUUGCUAGUACCAAAGAUAUAUUUGUUGUCACAAGUCCAGCUUUUCUACUUCAGAGGCACUCAUCACUUGGAGAGGCAGUGCACAGAAAGGACACCUUUGAAUAGCGAAGGCAAGCCACAGGCCAGAUUUCUGCAGGGAUUUUUGAAGAGGAAAGGGCACAAAUCAAAAAGCAUUGAAAACUCUAUUUGACUGACAGACUGUUUUUAACUAACCCAUGAUGAUGAUGGUGAACCGGAAUGAAGAAUGAGAAACAAUAUUAAACUGUCAGUGGCUGUGUCUACGAGACUGGUGAGAACAGCUCUUCUUAUCUGUUAAAAUUGGUGGAUCUGGCAAAAGAAAAACUGAAACAAAGGUUCUCCCAAAUCCCAUCCCAACAACCUGUCAGUGCUCCCUGGAGCAGCAUUGGUGGUUUCUGACCCUGCACUCGAAUCACUCUGCUGGGAUGUUUUCUGCUCAGCACUGGGGCCAGUUUUGCUUCCUGAACUUCAAGAGUGACAUCCUAGUUACACAGAAAAAAAAUGGCCUUGUUGUGAAUCCUACCAGUGCGGAGGAAGGCGAAGGCCUGAGCACACGGCUCCUCCUGUGCCACUGCCGCUGGGGACACCAACACACUGCAGAGUCAUCCCACCACUGCUGGCCCUUUGGAUGGACCUGCUACGUUAUGUGACAUGGAUCAUUUCCAGUCAGCCUUGUAUUGAAAUCUGUCAUCGCCAAAGUUUGGAAAAUCAACUUAAAACCAACUUGGAAGACUUCUGCCCAGACCCUUUGCUUUUACAUGCCACGAGUCGGCUCUCUGCUCCCAGGUCCACGCUGCUGUAAGGAAUCAAACUCCAAAGAAGGCACUACAUAUUUUUCUGGAAUUUAGAAACAAGAUCCCUAUGGUCUGCUGGUAAAAUGUAGACACUGCAGUGAGAGUAAUGAAAUGUCCAAGAUCUUGAAUAAGCAUGGGAUGGAAACUGGGAGUCAGUGGAGGAUAAGGAGCCCAGGUGUGAUGUGCUUAGGGACAGGACUGCUGAGAGGGUAGGAUGCCAGUCUGCAGGUGAGGGGAUUUUACAAAUCAAACAAAGCUCUGAUGAGACUUCCACCUCCUUUCCAAAAAAACACCAAGACCAUGGAAAAAUUGUUUCCAAGAAGAAGACUUCUUCCUCGCUCCUCAUCUGCACAGAAGCCAUUGCCCAAGAUUCAUCGUUGCAACCACUCUGAAAGGCACCUUUUCACACAGUGAUGCCAUGAUUACCAAGAAGCAAGGAGCGCAGGGCAG